rnacentral:rRNA from 1 species
GAGGGGGAUAACUACUGGAAACGGUAGCUAAUACCGCAUAACGUCGCAAGACCAAAGAGGGGGACCUUCGGGCCUCUUGCCAUCGGAUGUGCCCAGAUGGGAUUAGCUAGUAGGUGGGGUAACGGCUCACCUAGGCGACGAUCCCUAGCUGGUCUGAGAGGAUGACCAGCCACACUGGAACUGAGACACGGUCCAGACUCCUACGGGAGGCAGCAGUGGGGAAUAUUGCACAAUGGGCGCAAGCCUGAUGCAGCCAUGCCGCGUGUAUGAAGAAGGCCUUCGGGUUGUAAAGUACUUUCAGCGGGGAGGAAGGGAGUAAAGUUAAUACCUUUGCUCAUUGACGUUACCCGCAGAAGAAGCACCGGCUAACUCCGUGCCAGCAGCCGCGGUAAUACGGAGGGUGCAAGCGUUAAUCGGAAUUACUGGGCGUAAAGCGCACGCAGGCGGUUUGUUAAGUCAGA